GCUAACUACGUGCCAGCAGCCGCGGUAAUACGUAGGGCGCAAGCGUUGUCCGGAAUUAUUGGGCGUAAAGAGCUUGUAGGUGGCUUGUCGCGUCUGCCGUGAAAACCCGAGGCUCAACCUCGGGCGUGCGGUGGGUACGGGCAGGCUAGAGUGUGGUAGGGGAGACUGGAACUCCUGGUGUAGCGGUGAAAUGCGCAGAUAUCAGGAAGAACACCGAUGGCGAAGGCAGGUCUCUGGGCCAUUACUGACACUGAGAAGCGAAAGCAUGGGUAGCGAACAGGAUUAGAUACCCUGGUAGUC
rnacentral:rRNA from 1 species